ensembl:lncRNA
UACAAAAGGGAGUUGUCCCAUUUCUGCUACUUUUGGGUAGGAGAACCAAGCCAUUCAGUUCUUUGCCAUGCUGAGUUCCUUUCAAAGCUAUUUAUAUAAGAUGAUUAUCACUCAUUAAGUAGUUUACUCUUCACUGCCAGUGCCGCCCAUUUGCAGCGCUGGGAAUUGAAGUUUAUGCACAGCAAUGACAGAACUCUGCAUCCACUGAAAUCAAGAUCUAGGAACCUUGAAAUAAGGAAGCAGGAAAGCAAGUUACUCAGAUUCUGUCGGGAUAGCUGUGCAGUUUUAAGGCCCUGAAUUUAUUUCUGUUAUUCUGUAUCUCAUCUGAGAGUGGAGGUUAUCGUGCGUUGUUCGCAGUGGAGGGAAAAAAUGGUUCUGCUGUGCAGUUUUAACCUUGCUGGUGUGAAUCCUGAGGAAACAUGCAGCGUGGGUGUGAGAUGAGGGAAACGCUAUCAUUACAGCUGCCAAAAGCAAAACAAGACCUACGAUGUUUCCUAGCUCUUUGUGUAUCAACUCAAGCAGAAUGCAGAAAGAUGUCACAGUGGAGGAGGAUCAACACAACACAUUACUGCUGUGUCAUUACUCAACUCCUGGAGAACACAAUGGAAAACUUCUGAUUAAUGACUUGGAGAGUCGGAGGUCUGUUCCUUAUUUUGGAUAUCCUGCUAUGAGGGACGUGAACAGAAGCUAGGAGUCAAGCAUGCAUCAGAUCAAGCUCCUUCUAGCAAACUGGGUGCCUGCUGACUGAUUCUGAUUAGGUGCUCAUCUGGUAGCUGUCGACAGAGGACAACAGUGUUCUGUGGAAGCCAUACAGCUCUGUGUGAGGCAAUUUGCUUUUUCCUGCAGAGACAGACUUUAGCACCCUAAACUACUCCACUCAUAUGGCUGGUAAUUGGUGUUGUAGGAAAUUGCUGCAUGCAGUUUAUCCCCAUGAUCCCUCUGAACAGAUGGAGCACUGUGAGUCCAGGGAGGCUUGCUGACAGGUUAGUGAAGCCUUGUGCUGUGAUUCAGGGAAAAAACACCGCUUGACCCAUGCCCUGCUGCUUUCUCUCAGCACAGAAAUCCCAAAGGUCCAUUCACAAACAAGUUUGAUAUGUUGUGACUCAGCCCUGAAAGUGUCAGAAGGCCAUCUAACUUGCUGGCUUCAGUGAGGACUUCUGAUAUGUCCUGUGCUCUUGAGGAUCCAUCUUUUCUGCUUAAUGGUUAGCUGUAUGCUGAGAAGAAAUCGUUCACUGAGAGGGACUUUGGUAUGCUGGUGGCUGUAUGGUUGCUAAAAUAGAUGGUAUGGAGGACUUCUGUAUUUUCGAAGCACUGUAUGAACUUCAUAUAAUCAGUUGGGUUGGAAGGAACCCUUAAAGGUCAUCUAGUCCAACUCCCCUGCAAUGAACAGACAUCUGCAGCAGUGAACAUAUCCUUCCUGCCUCCAGGAUUGCUGAGUAUGGAUGUUUCUGUUCGUGAAGGGAGAAAUCAUCUAGGCUUGGAGAUUGUCUCAAAAUAUGUUUAGGCCAGUUUUGAUGUUGAGGGCUUUUUUGUAGCUUUAACUCAGGGAAUUUUACUUAAAAACAAAACAGGACAAGAAAUUUAAAAAACUUGAAUAAGAAAUUAGUUCUUUUUUUAUUAUUUCUUAGAAUUUUUAUUUUUAGUUUUUAUUUUAGUUUACUUUUUUAGUUUUUUAUUAUUUCGUCUUUUUUAUUUUUUUAGUUUUAGUUUUUAUUUUUAUUUAUUUAUUUAUUUAUUUAUUAGAAUAAGAAAUUAGUUGUGAGUGAGAGAAAAAACUGUGAGAUGAAGGAAAAACUCUAUGGCUGUUCUGAAAAUAUAAGCUUGUAGUCCCCAUGAAGAUGAAAGAAUCCUCCUGAAACAGAACAGGCAUUACUGGGAUGGAGUACUUGCUUCUCUGUGUCUAUUGCUGAAUAGCAGUCACUUUAAGGACAAAAUUUCUAAGAACAUUGUAUAUAUGUGUAUGGGAACUGCUGAAUCAUGGCCUGAGCCUCUGAUUGAUCACCUGAGGCGAGCAGUGAGUGAAGGCAGUUCAGCUGUGCUGCUGGAAGGGGUGGAGCCUGGCUGCACCUCUCCCAGAGCCAUUUAAGAGCUGACCACCAGUGGGGAAGGAUCUCUUCUGGAGAUUCCUCCUCUGGAGUUUUGUAGCGAGCCUUGGAUGCAGGUAAGCUUUCUAUCUAUUCUCUUUUUGUUACUAUAAUCUGCUUAGACAAACUCUCUUGUUUUUUCAUAAUUAUUAUAAUUAUCUUUAUAUUCACUGAUACAUCUACUUAUCCAUCUGUUAUCUACAUAUCUAUCAAUCUGUUUACCCACCUAUCCAUCCCUGUUUUUAGUGACACCGUAACCAUACCGUAACACUCUGCGUUUUAAGAACAGAGAGAGAAUGGCAAGGGAGUACUUUGUAAAAACUUAGGGAAUACAAAUUAUGCUGCCAUGUCUGUGUCUAACUGAGGCUGUAUGUGCUGUGUAGUGCACCACUGUGUUCAAAGGUGGAUAAAAAAGGACUGUGUAUAGAGUGCUGGGGGGAAUUGGUAUUGCCCGUGGGUGUCUGCCUCUCACAGUCACAUAAUCCUGACUUCAGAUUGCACCUUGUAGUGUUAACAAGGUGGGAGGGAGUUCCCUUCACUUGUGAGUGAGCUGGGUAGGAGAAGUAUCAUAAACGCUUCAGAUUAUACUCCAGCCCCAGGCUUCUCCUGCAUAAUGAUGCUCUAGAUUUUUCUACAAUUAAUUACUUGUUUUGAGGCUGCUCCACAUCCUCGCAGAGAAACAGUUGUAAUACUUAUCUAGACAACUUUUCUUCUGUCACGGUUUGGAUCUCACCUGGAGGAAAAAAUAAAUACAAAAAUUCAAGCAGGAGCCAAAAAUAAUAUCUUCUGUAUAUAGUAUUCCUGCACUGGAAUAAAAAUGAGUGGCAACUCCCUGUGUAUUUUUAUGACCUCCAAAAAUAGAUCUAAAUCUCAGGGAAAAAAUGAAUGAUGCCACGGAAAGAAAUGGUAAAGGGUGAUUUGUCUGUAACAGUGCUGAGAUCAUCCUCCAUAUUAUAUGUCACUAGCUGGAAACAUGGGCCAGUUUUCUCUCUCUUCAUUGCUAAGACUGAAGUGCAUCAAUUUUGAUGAAGUUUCAGUACAGUGGGGAGCACUGACUUAACGUUCAUGUGGAGACUGAGAGUUCCCUCCUGCUCUGCUCUACAUGAACUGGAUCAUGGAAGAGCCAUGGAAUAGUGGGGAGAAGUUAGGUUUAUAAGCAGCAACGCCAGCAACUCUAUGUGUGAGUGCAACUUGUGGGUAAGAUCACUGGGGAAGCACACAUUCAAGGAUGAGUUUGACUUCUGUCAGUGAAGACUGAGUCCAUGGACGAGACUGUGGCAUUUUGCAGAGGGGAGGAGAGCUUAAGAGCCAACUCCAUAACUACAGUUUAAUGAUCUGUGCAGCAUUGGCCAGCCUGGCCUCCAGGUGUGUCUUGGGUUUCCUGAGGCUGAGGACACUUCUGUCUGCAUUGGAGACUGCUUUGGAGGUUACUGUCCCCACAGUAAAUCUGCAUUUCUCCUCGCUCCCCAGUUUAGUUCUACCGGCUCUGACGUAGUUUAAAAUCUGUCCUAAUAAAAAUGCUUAAACAGGUUCAAUAGACACAGGCAAGCCUGGAUUCCUUUGACAGGUAAGUGUGUCUACAUUAGGUAGUGCGGUUAAUAGAGGCAGAUCUGGAAAACAAAACAGUGUUAGAUAUUUAACAGUAGCUGACAUGAAAUGUGUUUCAGUGGGAGCUUAUAUUGGAGAUGCUCUAUUCUUGUCUUGACAACCAAACUAUUGCUGGAGCUCAUUGGGUGUAUUCUUGGAGCACAUCUUCUGGCCUAUUUUCAUUCAAACAGAAUUUAGUCUACCAAUUAUGUGGCUACAACAUGACAGGAAAUGAAGUGCAGUGAACAGAGAAUUCACUUCAAAAACCAACUCCUGAUCUGAACUAAAAAGUUAGAGUAGAUGCAGCUUUACUAAUACAGUCUAGUGGCUGAGUAAUUGGUGAUUCCCAUGAGUGUUAUCGGUAGCGAUGACAGGAGGGGUGAAAACUCCUUAAUCCAGCUUGGUUACGACCUGUGUGCUGUACUGGUCCGCAGCUGAAUGCACUAUAACCCAAACUACUGCCAACAGCAGAGACAGAGCUGCCUGAGGGUUGACACAUAGCUUUAUUUACUGGCUACUGCU